rnacentral:tRNA from 1 species
GCGAGAGUACCCGAGCGGUCUAAGGGGCAAGGUUGAGGGCCUUGUGGCUUAGUGCCUUCGUCGGUUCGAAUCCGGCCUCUCGCA